rnacentral:rRNA from 1 species
GGAACGGGUACGCCAGGGCACUGGGUGUGGGGUACAUUCCACGUUUUCCGCGCCGUAGCUAACGCAUUAAGUGCCCCGCCUGGGGAGUACGGCCGCAAGGCUAAAACUCAAAGGAAUUGACGGGGGCCCGCACAAGCGGCGGAGCAUGCGGAUUAAUUCGAUGCAACGCGAAGAACCUUACCAAGGCUUGACAUGAACUGGAAAUACCUGGAAACAGGUGCCCCGCUUGCGGUCGGUUUACAGGUGGUGCAUGGUUGUCGUCAGCUCGUGUCGUGAGAUGUUGGGUUAAGUCCCGCAACGAGCGCAACCCUCGUUCUAUGUUGCCAGCACGUAAUGGUGGGGACUCAUAGGAGACUGCCGGGGUCAACUCGGAGGAAGGUGAGGACGACGUCAAAUCAUCAUGCCCCUUAUGUCUUGGGCUUCACGCAUGCUACAAUGGCCGGUACAAUGGGUUGCGAUACUGUGAGGUGGAGCUAAUCCCAAAAAGCCGGUCUCAGUUCGGAUUGGGGUCUGCAACUCGACCCCAUGAAGUCGGAGUCGCUAGUAAUCGCAGAUCAGCAACGCUGCGGUGAAUACGUUCCCGGGCCUUGUACACACCGCCCGUCAAGUCACGAAAGUUGGUAACACCCGAAGCCGGUGGCCUAACCCCCUUGUGGGGAGGGAGCUGUCGAAGGUGGGACUGGCGAUUGGGACUAAGUCGUAAAAAGGGUAACCA